UGGGGAAUAUUGGACAAUGGGCGAAAGCCUGAUCCAGCCAUGCCGCGUGUGUGAAGAAGGUCUUCGGAUUGUAAAGCACUUUAAGUUGGGAGGAAGGGCAGUAAGCGAAUACCUUGCUGUUUUGACGUUACCGACAGAAUAAGCACCGGCUAACUCUGUGCCAGCAGCCGCGGUAAUACAGAGGGAGCAAGCGUUAAUCGGAAUUACUGGGCGUAAAGCGCGCGUAGGUGGUUCGUUAAGUUGAAUGUGAAAGCCCCGGGCUCAACCUGGGAACUGCAUCCAAAACUGGCGAGCUAGAGUAGGGCAGAGGGUGGUGGAAUUUCCUGUGUAGCGGUGAAAUGCGUAGAUAUAGGAAGGAACACCAGUGGCGAAGGCGACCACCUGGGCUCAUACUGACACUGAGGUGCGAAAGCGUGGGGAGCAAACAGG
rnacentral:rRNA from 1 species